GUAGGUGGCAAGCGUUGUCCGGAAUUAUUGGGCGUAAAGCGCGCGCAGGGCGGUCCUUUAAGUCUGAUGUGAAAGCCCACGGCUCAACCGUGGAGGGUCAUUGGAAACUGGGGGACUUGAGUACAGAAGAGGAAAGCGGAAUUCCAAGUGUAGCGGUGAAAUGCGUAGAGAUUUGGAGGAACACCAGUGGCGAAGGCGGCUUUCUGGUCUGUAACUGACGCUGAGGCGCGAAAGCGUGGGGAGCAAACAGGAUUAGAUACCCUGGUAGUCCACGCCGUAAACGAUGAGUGCUAAGUGUUAGGGGGUUUCCGCCCCUUAGUGCUGCAGCUAACGCAUUAAGCACUCCGCCUGGGAGUACGGCCGCAAGGCUG
rnacentral:rRNA from 1 species